AGRGUUUGAUCCUGGCUCAGAACGAACGCUGGCGGCGCGCCUAAUACAUGCAAGUCGAGCGAGAAGGUGUAGCAAUACACUUGUAAAGCGGCGAACGGGUGAGGAAUGCAUGGGUAACCUACCCUCGAGUGGGGAAUAACUAGCCGAAAGGUUAGCUAAUACCGCAUACGUUUCCGGGACYUCGGUUCCGGAARGAAAGCAAUACCGUGGGUAUUGCGCUCAUGGAUGGGCUCAUGUCCUAUCAGCUUGUUGGUGAGGUAACGGCUCACCAAGGCUUCGACGGGUAGCUGGUCUGAGAGGACGAUCAGCCACACUGGCACUGCGACACGGGCCAGACUCCUACGGGAGGCAGCAGUAAGGAAUAUUGCGCAAUGGACGAAAGUCUGACGCAGCGACGCCGCGUGGGGGAUGAAGGUCUUCGGAUUGUAAACCCCUUUCGGGAGGGAAGAUGGAGUGGGUAACCACUUGGACGGUACCUCCAGAAGCAGCCACGGCUAACUUCGUGCCAGCAGCCGCGGUAAUACGAAGGUGGCAAGCGUUGUUCGGAUUCACUGGGCGUACAGGGAGCGUAGGCGGUUGGGUAAGCCCUCCGUGAAAUCUCCGGGCCUAACCCGGAAAGUGCAGAGGGGACUGCUCAGCUAGAGGAUGGGAGAGGAGCGCGGAAUUCCCGGUGUAGCGGUGAAAUGCGUAGAGAUCGGGAGGAASRCCRGUGGCGAAGGCGRCSMYCUGGAMYRWUWCUGACRCUGAGGYKCGAAAGCGUGGGGAGCAAACAGGAUUAGAUACCCUGGUAGUCC
rnacentral:rRNA from 1 species